rnacentral:piRNA from 1 species
UUUGCAUAUCCUAUAAAGCCA